rnacentral:rRNA from 1 species
AGCAGCCGCGGUAAUUCCAGCUCCAAUAGCGUAUAUUAAAGUUGUUGCAGUUAAAAAGCUCGUAGUUGAAUUUCGGGGUCAGUAGAUUGGUCGUGCCACUGGUAUGUACUGGUCUUACUGGCUCCUCCUUCCUGAUGAACCGUAAUGCCAUUAAUUUGGUGUUGCGGGGAAACUGGACUGUUACUUUGAAAAAAUUAGAGUGUUUAAAGCAGGCUAACGCUUGAAUACAUUAGCAUGGAAUAAUGAAAUAGGACGUUCGAUCUUAUUUUGUUGGUUUCUAGGAUUGACGUAAUGAUUAAUAGGGAUAGUUGGGGGCAUUAGUAUUCAAUUGUCAGAGGUGAAAUUCUUGGAUUUAUUGAAGACUAACUACUGCGAAAGCAUUUGCCAAGGAUGUUUUCAUUAAUCAAGAACGAAAGUUAGGGGAUCGAAGACGAUCAGAUACCGUCGUAGUCUUAACCAUAAACUAUGCCGACUAGGGAUCGGAUGAUGUUAAUUUUUAAUGACUCAUUCGGCGCCUUAA